GAUGAUGUAGCUAGCACUUUUGGGUGCUUUAAGGUAAAAAAAGUACCUUCCUUUCAGGCGAUAAUGGUGUAAACUGAAACAUUGUCGACCCACCUAUUCUGUUUGCUGAUUGAUGCUAAUUCAGAAUGGGCCAGUAUCAAAGCUACUGUCGUGUCAGAACAACAAUUGCAGCUCUAGGUUUGCUGCGCUGUGAAGGCCCCACCCUGCUUCUGUUGCUGGGGACAGCAUCUUAGCCUUGUCCUGCAAUAGUCCCCUUCGUGAAUUUGACCAGAAACAGACUGUCGUUUGGCAUGAUUAAAUUUGCCUGGAUCAGCAGGAACCGCAGGAACAGAUUAACUUCAAACUGCGGGGGAGCCUUAUGGUACGUUACUGCACUUGAAAGCAUUAAAACCAACUGCUCUACAGAACACCUGUUGAGAAUAUUAGGCGGGUUUUUGUAUGAUGCCUGGGGAGCAUGAAAAUAACCUGUGCAUGCUUUGACAUAUGGACCGGUCCUCUGCCAGCCGUUCUAACAUCUCACCAGGUUCUCUGGCUUAGGUCUUUGCAAAGCCUGCUACUCUUGUGGGAAGAGCAGCUAUAUGAUAGAGCAUCUGCCUCACAGGUUCGAUCCCUCGCAUUUCCAGGUAGGGCUGGGAAGACUUCCUGCCUUAAACCCUGGAGAGCUGUUGCCAGUCAGUGUAGACAGUACCAGUGGUUUGAUCCGGUAUAAGGGAGCUUCCUAUGUACUACCACUAUCACAGUAGUUGGGACUUCACUGCUACAUUGACCAUGAACACGAAUUGUUAUGUACCGAAGUUCUCACCCUGGGCCAGCAGGGGGAUACUGUAGAUAGUUAUGCAAAUAAGGGAUCGAAAGUGACGUUCAGUGAUUGGAUAGUUUUAGAAAAUUGUUACAGUUACAUUGUAGUGGAGCUCUAUAUAAGCAGGCUGACUGAAACCUUCAGUUCAGUUCUGUCCUGGCCUGUGAAUAAACAAGAGCUGUUUGAAGAAUCGCUGUGUCGUCUGAUAUGUUCACCCACAACUUAACACAAAUGCCACAUACAAAGAGAUCCCUCAGUCAUGGGCUAGAUGAGCCAUUAGGGAAGUUAUUUUUCCCUGCACCUGCCACCUGUCAUAGAUAGAUAGAUAGAUAGAUAGAUAGAUAGAUAGAUAGAUGGAUGGAUAUAUUUUCAUUGGCCUCCUGACUAAGUCUUCUGUAUCUGCCCAAGGUUGCAUCGCUCCUGGUGAGCAUAUGCAAAAUAAUCAUCUACUUUCAACUGAAGGCAGAGAUGGAUGAGGGGGACCUGUGGCACUCUGGACAUUGCUGGACUCCAACUCCCAUCAGCCCCUGCCAGCACAAGCAAGGGAUGAUGGGAGUUGGAGUUCAACAGCACCUGGGAAAAGUUGCAGUUUCCUCAUCACUAAGGCUGCUUGGAACUAGGCACAGAUUUUCUUGUGAAAAAAAACACCAAAACGAAACCUGCAGCUGUGUGUUUAUCCUGGAAAUUACUCUUUUUAGAAAUCAUAGGCUGAAAUAAGUAUAUAGCAAAAGCUAGCAUUUCCCAAGAAAAUAAUUCCCCCUUCUUUGAUUUAAAUCAUUCUGUAGGUAAUUAUAAACCAAUUUGGAACCUGAAAGAUAAGCAACUUCUUCAGUGUUCUUGGAAUACUAGAAAUUAGCCCCAUUUGUGAUUAGGUUUGCAUUUUCUCUCGAUAAAUUUCAGCCACCUUUUCUACUCUGGGCUAUAUUUCUGCUGUGUACUUAGACUGGUUUAACACGUUCUCCUGAGAGCUGAGGUUUUGUACAAGGUUGGGAGGGGGAGGGACUUAUUAACAGAACAUUCACCUCUACUCCUGGCUGCCAUUUCCCAGGAUCCUUUGAGAGGGGAAGCCAUGACAGUUACUCUGCCAUGAAACUGGCGUAGGGUUGACCAUGUAGAUAGGCCCAAUUGUUCUAUCAAGCUCAUUUGUGCAGGAUUUAAGUGCAAUAGAAGCAGGUUCAUGUUCUUAACAGCCUGAAUAUAAGGGGAAAUGUCUUUAUUAUGUAUGUAGUUAUAAGGGCAUCUAUUUUGUGCAUGGAAAACGUUGCAAUUGUGAAUUAUCAUAUGUUUUCUGUUAGAUGCAUUGCUUAAACCAUUGCAGGUUUAUAUACAUGAAAGCUGUUGAGAAGGAACUUAAAUCUUUCACGGCUGUUAAACGUGUCUCAUAAUUUGUUGUUGUUAAGAAUAGCAUUUAAUCUGCUUACUUCUUUAAAAAUGGCGUAAACUUGGUUUUAUAUACAUGAAGGGAUCCUUCCAGAGUGCUAAAACUAUUUAUAUGCCAAUUUUCAUACUUCCCCACUGAUGACCCACAAUGCUGUUACUUCUGUCAGUUGAAAUAAACGUGGUCCUCUCGUCU